GAGUUGGAAACAGCCGAUCAUGUGACAACGCAAGAUGGCGGUGCCCAGCGAGGCGGAGGAGGAGGCCACAGUCUACUUAAUAGUGAGCGGCAUUCCCUCGGGUUUGCGCUCUGCCCAUCUCCGGAACUACUUUAGCCAGUUCCGAGAACAGCGCGGCUGUGGUUUCCUGUGUUUCCACUACCGGCAUCGGCCUGAGCGGGCUCCUUCCCAGGCUUCUCCCGACUCUGCCCCAACUCCUAUCGGCCAGGUUCUCGCCCAGACUUCAGUCACCGAUGCCCGCACUCUUUCCCCUCCGGACUCUGCUCCCGCCCAGACCCGCACCUGCUGCUGCGUCAUCUCGGUACGGGGGACAGCUCAGGCCCAGCAGUUUCUUCGCAUGUACUCCGGCCGCCGGUGGCUAGAUACUCAGGGGACUUGGUUGCCGGGUCGUUGUUACAUCCGCAGACUUCGGCUACCUACUGAGGCAUCAGGUUUCGGCUCCUUUCCUUUCAAAACCCGCAAGGAGCUGCAGAGUCGGAAAGCUCAGAGUGAAGCCUUUACUCUGGCUGACCUGAGGCAACUGCCAGAGCUGAACCCACCAGUGCUGAUGCCCAAUGGAAAUGUGGGGACUCCUCUGCGGGUCUUUUUGGAAUUGAUCCGGGCCUGCCGCCUACCUCCUCGGAUCAUCACCCAGCUGCAGCUCCAGUUUCCCAAGACAGGUUCUUCCCGGCGCUAUGGCAACGUACCCUUCAAGUAUGAGGACUCAGAGACUGUGGAGCAGGAAGACCUUGUGUAUACCGCCGAAGGCGAGGAAAUACCCCAAGGAAGCUGCCUGGCGGACAUACCAGCCAGCUCCUAUGGAGAGCCAGAGGAGGAAGGGGAAAAGGAGGAGGAAGAAGAGUCACACUCAGAUGACGACGAUGACCGCGGUGAGGAGUGGGAGCGUCAUGAGGCACUGCAUGAAGAUGUGACCAGGCAGGAACGUACCACUGAGCGGCUCUUUGAGGAGGAAAUCGAGCUCAAGUGGGAGAAGGGCGGCUCCGGCCUAGUAUUCUACACUGAUGCCCAGUUCUGGCAGGAGGAGGAAGGAGACUUUGAUGAACAGACAGCCGAUGACUGGGAUGUGGACAUGAGUGUAUACUACGACAGAGAUGGUGGAGACAAGGAUGCCCGAGACUCUGUCCAAAUGCGUCUGGAACGGAGACUCCGUGAUGGCCAGGAGGAUGGCUCUGCGAUCAAAUGCCAAGUGGGCACCUUUGAGCGCCACACCAAGGGCAUUGGACGGAAGGUGAUGGAGCAGCAGGGCUGGGCUGAGGGCAAGGGUCUGGGCAGCCGGUGUUCAGGGGUGCCUGAGGCCCUGGAUAGUGAUGGCCAGCACCCUAGAUGCAAGCGUGGAUUGGGGUGAGUAUGGCCAAGAGACUUUCCUGGGGGCCCAAGCUAGGCUUUCAUCUGUACCCUGGUUUCCCCCCUUCCGUCUGGUUUUGGAAGGGUAUUGGAGACUCCUAGGGUUGAGCUUCAAAGCAGAAUUAGAAGGAAAAGGUAGGUCUGGCACUAUUAAUUUUUUAGACCAAGCUCUAAGGCUUGAUAGGAUCACUGAUCUCCUGUGGAAGUCAUACCCCCUGGUCUGAGGAGUUUGGACUUGAUUGCUGUUAGGGAGUACCUGUAAGUCACAGAAUGGUGACCAUUUGUUCUAAACUGUAUGUAUUAUUUAAAAUGAAGGCAAUAUGUGAGGCCUCUGGUUGCUGGCACUGUCAAUGGAGAGAUAAGAGGACUGAAGAGCAAAGAUCCAAAUUUAAAGGCUCGAUCUUUGGGACAAACCAGAUGUGUAGUAGCUACUUCUCUGUCUUUUCCCAACCCUUUAUUGGAGUUUGAGAGCAGGCCUCUCAGUUUGAGCCCUUUUUAAUGCAGGUACCACGGAGAGAAGCUACAGCCAUUUGGGCAACUGAAGAGACCCCGUGGAACUGGCUUGGGGCUCAUCUCCACCAUCUAUGAUGAGCCCCUACCCCAAGACCAAGGGGAGUCGCUGCUCCGACGCCAGCCAGCCACCAGCAUGAAGUUUCGGGCAGACAUGGCAUUUGUGAGGAGUUCCAGCUGUGCCUCAGACAACCCCUCAGAGCAUGAGUGACAGGUUUGGGCCUUCCUUAGUGUCACUCAUAACUGCACCAGUGGUAGCCCUCUGCCUUGGCCUUAUGUCCCACCACAGCCAAAAGAACUCUGGGACCAGUAAUCUGCGCAGCUUGUUCACAGUGUUCUGUUCUGAACUUGCCUUCUGGCGCUCUACCUCAAGGACGUUUUUACCAAAAGCCCUCUGUCCUCUUUUAAUAUUAGGGCUGAAUGACCUCAGUGGUCUCCUAACCCCAGUCCCUGUUUGGGCUUGCCCAUGUUGCCUCCUCCAGUACCUUGAACAGUUGGAUUGACUGAAGUUGUCAGCACAACCUUCGCUGAGCGGGGGGUUCACUGUAAAGGUCAGAAAGAGGGGGAAACGGGCCUGGAAGAGGAGAGGACCCGCGGUGCUUGGGAAGGGACGAUCUCGAGGCGGGCCCUCCAUCGUCUACACCCGUGACUGGCUGGGAGCGGACAGCGGGAAGGUGGCCCGGGUCUGUGACCUAACGGGAGAAUAAAGAAGUUUACU